UCUCCGUUGGUGAACCAGCGGAGGGAUCAUUACAGAGUUAUCUAACUCCCAAACCCAUGUGAACUUACCAUAUGUUGCCUCGGCAGAACCUACCCUGUAGCGGGCUGCCGGCGGACCUCUAAACUCUUGUUAUUUUUAAAGUAAUCUGAGCGUCUUAUUUUAAUAAGUCAAAACUUUCAACAACGGAUCUCUUGGUUCUGGCAUCGAUGAAGAACGCAGC
rnacentral:misc_RNA from 1 species